rnacentral:rRNA from 1 species
GAGAGUUUGAUUCUGGCUCAGGAUGAACGCUGGCGGCGUGCCUAACACAUGCAAGUCGAGCGAGAAAUGAAGAGAAGAAACUUCGGUAGAUUUUCAUCAUGGAAAGCGGCGGACGGGUGAGUAACGCGUAGGCAACCUGCCCCGUACAGGGGGAUAGCCAUCGGAAACGAUGAUUAAGACCCCAUAAAGCGGAAUAUACACAUGUAAAAACCGUCAAAGAUUUAUCGGUAUGGGAUGGGCCUGCGUCUGAUUAGAUAGUUGGUAGGGUAACGGCCUACCAAGUCAACGAUCAGUAGCCGACCUGAGAGGGUGAACGGCCACAUUGGAACUGAGACACGGUCCAAACUCCUACGGGAGGCAGCAGUGGGGAAUAUUGCACAAUGGAGGGAACUCUGAUGCAGCAACGCCGCGUGAAGGAAGAAGGUCUUCGGAUCGUAAACUUCUGUCCAAAAGGAAGAAGGAAGUGACGGUACUUUUGGAGGAAGCCCCGGCUAACUACGUGCCAGCAGCCGCGGUAAUACGUAGGGGGCAAGCGUUAUCCGGAAUUAUUGGGCGUAAAGAGUGCGUAGGUGGUCACUUAAGCGCAGGGUUUAAGGCAAUGGCUCAACCAUUGUAUGCCCUGCGAACUGGGCGACUUGAGUGCAGGAGAGGAAAGUGGAAUUCCUAGUGUAGCGGUGAAAUGCGUAGAUAUUAGGAGGAACACCGGUGGCGAAAGCGACUUUCUGGACUGAAACUGACACUGAGGCACGAAAGCGUGGGGAGCAAACAGGAUUAGAUACCCUGGUAGUCCACGCCGUAAACGAUGAGCACCAGGUGUCGGGGUCGCAAGACCUCGGUGCCGCAGUUAACGCAUUAAGUGCUCCGCCUGGGGAGUACGUUCGCAGAAUAAAACUCAAAGGAAUUGACGGGACCCGCGCAAGCAGCGGAGCAUGUGGUUAAUUCGAGCAACGCGAAGACCUUACAGGCUGACAUCUCUGCGUACCGUAAAUGUAUUUCUACGACAGAAGAACAGUGUGCAUGCUGUCGUCAGCUCUGUCUGGAAUGUGGUAGUCCCCACGACGCAACCUGCUUAUGCAUCAUUAGUGACUCUAAGGACUGCGGAACAUGAGAAGUGAUGACCAUCCUUGCCUUAGUUCGGCCUCACACGGGUCACAAUGAC